GAUGAAGAACGUAGCGAAAUGCGAUAAGUAAUGUGAAUUGCAGAAUUCAGUGAAUCAUCGAAUCUUUGAACGCAUCUUGCGCUCCUUGGUAUUCUGAGGAGCAUGCCUGUUUGAGUGUCAUUAAAUUCUCAACUACACUGACUUUGAAUUGGUGUGGCUUGGAUUUGGGGGGAAAAUUGUUGUGGGCUUUUUGUAUAGUCUGCUCCCCUGAAAUUGAUUAGCGGUACCUUUGUGGAACUGUCUACAGGUGUGAUAAUUAUCUACAUCUUAGACAUCUGCUGGAAUGCUGCUUUCUAAACCUUACUUGUAUUGACAAUCUUGACCUCAAAUCAGGUAGGACUACCCGCUGAACUUAAGCAUAUCCAAUAAGCGGAGGA
rnacentral:misc_RNA from 1 species